rnacentral:rRNA from 1 species
UACGGAGGGAGCUAGCGUUGUUCGGAAUUACUGGGCGUAAAGAGCGCGUAGGCGGCUAACUAAGUUGGGAGUGAAAUCCCAGGGCUUAACCCUGGAAUUGCUUUCAAAACUGGUUAGCUAGAGAACGAUAGAGGAUGGUGGAAUUCCUAGUGUAGAGGUGAAAUUCUUAGAUAUUAGGAGGAACAUCGGAGGCGAAGGCGACCAUCUGGGUCGUAUCUGACGCUGAGGCGCGAAAGCGUGGGGAGCAAACAGG